AGGAAGUAAAAGUCGUAACAAGGUUUCCGUAGGUGAACCUGCGGAAGGAUCAUUAAUGAAUUUUGAAACGGGUUGUAGCUGGCCUUACGGGGCAUUUUGUGCACGCCCUGCUCAUUUGUCCCCAUCUCACACCUGUGCACACUCUGUAGGAUGGUUAUAGCGGUGAAGCCUUCAGUGGUUUUGCUAUGCGUAGCCUUCCUAUGUUUUAUCACACACUACUCAGUUUAAAGAAUGUCCUUUGCGUCUAACGCAUUUAAAUACAACUUUCAGCAACGGAUCUCUUGGCUCUCGCAUCGAUGAAGAACGCAGCGAAAUGCGAUAAGUAAUGUGAAUUGCAGAAUUCAGUGAAUCAUCGAAUCUUUGAACGCACCUUGCGCUCCUUGGUAUUCCGAGGAGCAUGCCUGUUUGAGUGUCAUGAAAUUCUCAACUCCCUUUCACUUGUGAACAUGGGAUGUUGGAUGUGGAGGUUUUUGCUGGAUGCUCUUAUGCAUUCAGCUCCUCUUGAAUGCAUUAGCUUCAACCUUUUGUGGAUCAGCUUCGGUGUGAUAAUUGUCUACGCCGUUCUGUGAAGCAAUAUAUAUGUUAGAGCUUCCAAUCGUGUCCUGUACACAAUUCUUGACCUUUGACCUCAAAUCAGGUAGGAUUACCCGCUGAACUUAAGCAUAUCAAUAAGCGGAGGAAAAGAAACUAACAAGGAUUCCCCUAGUAACUGCGAGUGAAGCGGGAAAAGCUCAAAUUUAAAAUCUGGUGGUCUUUGGCCAUCCGAGUUGUAGUCUGGAGAAGUGCUUUCCGCGCUGGACCGUAUACAAGUCUCUUGGAACAGAGCGUCAUAGAGGGUGAGAAUCCCGUCUUUGAUACGGACUACCAGUGCUUUGUGAUGCGCUCUCAAAGAGUCGAGUUGUUUGGGAAUGCAGCUCAAAAUGGGUGGUAAAUUCCAUCUAAAGCUAAAUAUUGGCGAGAGACCGAUAGCGAACAAGUACCGUGAGGGAAAGAUGAAAAGCACUUUGGAAAGAGAGUUAAACAGUACGUGAAAUUGCUGAAAGGGAAACGCUUGAAGUCAGUCGCGUUGGCCAGGACUCAGCCUUGCUUUUUUGCUUGGUGCACUUUCUGGUUGACGGGCCAGCAUCGAUUUUGACCACUGGAAAAAGGCUAGGGGAAUGUGGCACCUUCGGGUGUGUUAUAGCCCUUAGUCACAUACGGUGGUUGGGAUCGAGGACCGCAGCACGCCUUCAAUGGCCGGGGUUCGCCCACGUUCGUGCUUAGGAUGCUGGCGUAAUGGCUUUAAACGACCCGUCUUGAAACACGGACCAAGGAGUCUAACAUGCCUGCGAGUGUUUGGGUGGUAAACCCGAGCGCGUAAUGAAAGUGAAAGUUGAGAUCCCUGUCGUGGGGAGCAUCGACGCCCGGACCUGAUCUUCGGUGAUGGCUCUGCGGUAGAGCAUGUAUGUUGGGACCCGAAAGAUGGUGAACUAUGCCUGAAUAGGGUGAAGCCAGAGGAAACUCUGGUGGAGGCUCGUAGCGAUUCUGACGUGCAAAUCGAUCGUCAAAUUUGGGUAUAGGGGCGAAAGACUAAUCGAACCAUCUAGUAGCUGGUUCCUGC
rnacentral:rRNA from 1 species